CCUUCAUUGGUGAUUCUCCUUCCUGGCCUCUUCUCAAUCGUUGAUCCCCAUUUCUCACCUCGGUAUCCGACAUGCUGCAGGCCAUGGCGGCGAGGAGCUGGACCACGCAGGCAAGCUGGUCGCCGGCGCCGGCGCCGGCCCACCACGCGCCGCCGGCCAUGGCGACGAGGUGAUGGUCCACGGCGGCAAGCUGGAGAGGCAGCGCGGCAGGCCGGAGUCCUCCAGGCUUCUGUCCCCACUGACGUCCACGCCGAUGUGUUCCUUGGCGCGUUGUCGGGAGUGUCGCCGAAGGAGAUGGCUGUGACGGAGCAUGAGGCGUACACGAGGAACAUCAUGGCGUGUGACGGCGGCGAGCGCCGGGAGCGGCACGAGCGGUGGGCGGCGCGGAUGGAGGGCGCUUCCCCAUGCACGAGCCUAGCGACGACGCUUGGUCUCGGGCGCGACGGAUUCAAGGUUCUACUGCUGGUUCCCGAUUUUGGACCCGCGCUAUGCAGAAUGAGAGCUCUGUCAGCGGAGGCCAACAUCAUGGUUUGGCUCCCACCGGCGGGGUGCCAACGGCGGCGUAGGAAGGCGGCAGAGGGCUCUGUGACGGCGGAUUCGAGGACCUCUGGGUCAAGGGCCACCCUCCUCAUCCGUCAAUGGCUAUAGUGUUUGUCGUGGUCAUUCGAUUGGGAGACGGCGGCCUCGACUACAUCCCCAACAGCCACACUAGCUGCAGUGUGAUGGAGAAGGAGUAGGAGCCGCAAUCGUCACGCAAUCGUUCGGCAGGAGGUAGUGGCGUAGGCGAAGAUGCAGACUUCAUGAGGCGGGAGAAAGCUAGAUCUCAACGUCCACCGGCGGGUCUUCGAAUCUAGGCGAGCGGCGGCCAGGUCAUCUGGUCGCCAGCGUGUUCCUGAAUCCACGCCGUGCGGAAGCAUCUGGUCGUGCGUGGGUGGCUUGCAGAAAGCCAGAAACAGGGGAGGGCACACAUCCGUGACGGACAGAUAAGCAUAUUGGUCAGCUCAAUAUGUUCUUUUGAGAAAUCGUAGUACUGUAGUGACCAGUGGAGGAAGACGAGGAACCAAACACAAAGAAUACUUCCCCCCCAACUCAUCUCAUGAGUUCAAUGUACUAGAUGGAGUAGUACACAGUUCAGAAUCUGCUGUUAAGACAACCAUUGAAUGGUAAUAAGUUGGCAUCAAUUUUAUUUUCUCAGACCUGAAGAAUGUUGGUGUAGGCAAGUCUGGAUCUGGGUACUUCCAUUCUGGUAUUUGUAUCUGGCAGCCCGAUGUUCAGCUAGCCGUCAUCAACAGGUUUGAGACGAGACUGUUGGUGUACAUGUAAGUGCACUCUCUACUUCCUACCCACCACCAAUUUGAGUCCUCUUCAGUUAGGUUGCAUUUUGUAUACCCCCUUUUUUAGAUGCCUUUUGUGUACCCUUUGUUGAAUUUGAUAUAACCAGUGAAGUAGUAAGACUCACACAACACAUUUUUUGUGCUCUGUUCCGGAGGCACACUUCUAGGAAGAGGUGUCAAGCUAGCUUUUGAACAAAUCGUGCAAAAAGCAUCUAUGUAAAUUCUUAGACGCCCCAAUUUUCAUGAUCUUUUUGGCUGCACCAAGCUUGCUUUGCUUGCCAGUAAACAAGACGAAAAUAGGCCACACUUCCAAACUGUCUAGGUCACUAAAGAUUUGAGCUUCAUGUAGGUCGUCUCCAACUGAUCCAUUUAGGUCUAAGCUUCAUUUGUACGGAAAGUUUAGUUUUGUUCGCAUGGGUGGAUACUUGCUUUUUUAGUAUUGAACUUUUUUCAGCCUGAAUUUCGAUUGGUUAGGUCUUGCAAUGGUUAAUUGCUUCCACAUCUUUUCCUUUUCCACGUUGUAUGCGCUUGCUUGAUUUGUUGGGGUCUGAGUGAUUUUCUUAAAAAUAGCUUACAUUCCUCAAAAAAAAAAAAGCUUACAUUUGUUUCAGCUGUCAUAACCUAUAAGACUCGGUUUUCUGUACUGUCUGACCUACCGUUUUUAAUUUAUGUACUGUUAACAUCCUCUACUAUUUCUUGUUCUGCUAUUCAUAUCACUCGAUCUGAGAGAACAUCUGUUCGAGCAUGGUUGAUCAAAUCUCCUUAGUACAAUUCAUGUGCUAAAUUACGUUAUACAACAACUAAAGGGGAAAAGGAUUCUAGGUACAUAUAUCUAUGUUCAAUUUUUACUCCAUACUUUUUUAUUCGAGAACUUGCAGAAAAAAUUAACUGAUUUUCCUUUUGAACAUCAAUUCAGUUUUGGCAUAUUAUCUUACUAGAACUAACUGAUAUUUACAUGUUAAUUUAGUGGGUUUCCUGGCAUGCAUGUAGUUUUUUUUUCUAGAUUGUUUGUUCUUCUCUUUUUGCUUAUCAGCAUCUCCCUACGAAUGAAACUAGGAGAUGCGACACACGCCUACUAAUUUAAUCAACUCAAAGUUGUUUUUGGUUAUUUGGAUUCUUGAUUUUUAUGUAGUUCGUGUGUGUACUCCUUUUUCUUAUUCUCUUUUUUCGUGACGGAAGAUUUUAUUAUUAAGAAGAUCCCAAAACAUUCUAUAAGAAGGCAACUAGGUGAGGAGUGAUCAGUUUUGCUUUUCAGGUAAGGCAACUCAUGCUCUGGUUAUGACAAUGAUCCAACAACAUCCUUCACUUAUUUAUUUCCUUUGGUGAUAAUAGCUUCUAAAGACUGAGUAAUUCUUUUGUUGGUAAACGAAGUGAAGCGGUGUUUUUCAUGGCUAUUAUUGUUGGGUUCACCUUUAGUGCUUGGUAUGCAAUUUUCCCAUCUAAGUAUUCUGCACGGAGGCACUAAUUUUUCUGUUGGGAUAUUUAGUGUAGCAUGCUUUUUUACCAUAGUAAUCAUUGGCCUUUUCUCUAUAGUUACUGUAUUGUUCAGAUUUAUCAAACUCCUGACUGAUAUUACUUUCUUGAAAUAAGAUGGAGGAAGACGGCGGUGACUAUAUUGUCAUUCAUUAAUAUUCAUGGAAUCCAGACGUCCUGUCGGAUUUUGGAGCCAAUGACAAGGGCAGGGAACAUGAAUUCAGUACUGAAAGAUACAUUAGCUUUUGAGCUAUCUUUUUUAUGUGCCACGGAGAAGAUCUUUCCCGUGGAGAAGAGGAAAAUUAAAAUUUCGAAGAAGCCUCCCUAUUCCUAUUGUUUAUCAUAAUAGAAGUGUUUCCCUUACUUUAUGAGGAUGAUAGAGUGGUGCUUCUAAAUUUUCUUUGAGCCGAUUAUUUCUCGGUUGCUCUCCAUUUGUUCAACUCUGAGUUUUGAAAAUAUGUUUGCAUGUAUUAUUAAAUUCAGAAGAUCAUCCUUAUAUUGCUGCUUCCAA